GACGAACGCUGGCGGCGUGCUUAACACAUGCAAGUCGAACGGUGAAGCGCCUUCCUUUUUGGUGGGUGUGGAUGAGUGGCGAACGGGUGAGUAAAACGUGAGUAACCUGCCCCCUUCUUCUGGAUAACCGCAUGAAAGUGUGGCUAAUACGGGAUAUUCCGGGUUUGUCGCAUGAUGGGUUUGGGUAAGAUAUUGUUUCGGUGGGGGCCGGGCUCGCGGCCUAUCCGUUUGUUGGUGGGGUGAUGGCCUACCAAGGCGGUGACGGGUAGCCGGCCUGAGAGGGUGGACGGUCUGGCAGGGACUGAGACACGGCCCAGACUGCUACGGGAGGCAGCAGUGAGUAAUAUUGCACGAUGGACGGAAGCCUGAUGCAGCGACGCCGCGUGAGGGAUGGAGGCCUGCGGGUUGAGAACCUCUGUCGUUAGUGAAGCAAGGCUGCCUCAUUUGUGGUUGUGUUGACGGUAGCUGGAUAAGAAGCGCCGGCUAACUACGUG
rnacentral:rRNA from 1 species